rnacentral:rRNA from 1 species
AAAUUGAAGAGUUUGAUCAUGGCUCAGAUUGAACGCUGGCGGCAGGCCUAACACAUGCAAGUCGAACGGUAGCACAGAGAGCUUGCUCUCGGGUGACGAGUGGCGGACGGGUGAGUAAUGUCUGGGAAACUGCCCGAUGGAGGGGGAUAACUACUGGAAACGGUAGCUAAUACCGCAUAACGUCGCAAGACCAAAGAGGGGGACCUUCGGGCCUCUUGCCAUCGGAUGUGCCCAGAUGGGAUUAGCUAGUAGGUGGGGUAACGGCUCACCUAGGCGACGAUCCCUAGCUGGUCUGAGAGGAUGACCAGCCACACUGGAACUGAGACACGGUCCAGACUCCUACGGGAGGCAGCAGUGGGGAAUAUUGCACAAUGGGCGCAAGCCUGAUGCAGCCAUGCCGCGUGUAUGAAGAAGGCCUUCGGGUUGUAAAGUACUUUCAGCGGGGAGGAAGGCGAUAAGGUUAAUAACCUUGUCGAUUGACGUUACCCGCAGAAGAAGCACCGGCUAACUCCGUGCCAGCAGCCGCGGUAAUACGGAGGGUGCAAGCGUUAAUCGGAAUUACUGGGCGUAAAGCGCACGCAGGCGGUCUGUCAAGUCGGAUGUGAAAUCCCCGGGCUCAACCUGGGAACUGCAUUCGAAACUGGCAGGCUAGAGUCUUGUAGAGGGGGGUAGAAUUCCAGGUGUAGCGGUGAAAUGCGUAGAGAUCUGGAGGAAUACCGGUGGCGAAGGCGGCCCCCUGGACAAAGACUGACGCUCAGGUGCGAAAGCGUGGGGAGCAAACAGGAUUAGAUACCCUGGUAGUCCACGCCGUAAACGAUGUCGAUUUGGAGGUUGUGCCCUUGAGGCGUGGCUUCCGGAGCUAACGCGUUAAAUCGACCGCCUGGGGAGUACGGCCGCAAGGUUAAAACUCAAAUGAAUUGACGGGGGCCCGCACAAGCGGUGGAGCAUGUGGUUUAAUUCGAUGCAACGCGAAGAACCUUACCUGGUCUUGACAUCCACAGAACUUAGCAGAGAUGCUUUGGUGCCUUCGGGAACUGUGAGACAGGUGCUGCAUGGCUGUCGUCAGCUCGUGUUGUGAAAUGUUGGGUUAAGUCCCGCAACGAGCGCAACCCUUAUCCUUUGUUGCCAGCGGUCCGGCCGGGAACUCAAAGGAGACUGCCAGUGAUAAACUGGAGGAAGGUGGGGAUGACGUCAAGUCAUCAUGGCCCUUACGACCAGGGCUACACACGUGCUACAAUGGCAUAUACAAAGAGAAGCGACCUCGCGAGAGCAAGCGGACCUCAUAAAGUAUGUCGUAGUCCGGAUUGGAGUCUGCAACUCGACUCCAUGAAGUCGGAAUCGCUAGUAAUCGUAGAUCAGAAUGCUACGGUGAAUACGUUCCCGGGCCUUGUACACACCGCCCGUCACACCAUGGGAGUGGGUUGCAAAAGAAGUAGGUAGCUUAACCUUCGGGAGGGCGCUUACCACUUUGUGAUUCAUGACUGGGGUGAAGUCGUAACAAGGUAACCGUAGGGGAACCUGCGGUUGGAUCACCUCCUUACCUUAAAGAA